rnacentral:rRNA from 1 species
AUUGAACGCUGGCGGCAGGCUUAACACAUGCAAGUCGAGCGGGGGAAGGUAGCUUGCUACCGGACCUAGCGGCGGACGGGUGAGUAAUGCUUAGGAAUCUGCCUAUUAGUGGGGGACAACAUCUCGAAAGGGAUGCUAAUACCGCAUACGUCCUACGGGAGAAAGCAGGGGAUCUUCGGACCUUGCGCUAAUAGAUGAGACUAAGUCGGAUUAGCUAGUUGGUGGGGUAAAGGCCUACCAAGGCGACGAUCUGUAGCGGGUCUGAGAGGAUGAUCCGCCACACUGGGACUGAGACACGGCCCAGACUUCUACGGGAGGCAGCAGUGGGGAAUAUUGGACAAUGGGGGGAACCCUGAUCCAGCCAUGCCGCGUGUGUGAAGAAGGCCUUAUGGUUGUAAAGCACUUUAAGCGAGGAGGAGGCUACUUUAGUUAAUACCUAGAGAUAGUGGACGUUACUCGCAGAAUAAGCACCGGCUAACUCUGUGCCAGCCGCCGCAGUAA